UGCCAGCAGCCGCGGUAAUACGUACCGGACAAGCGUUAUUCGGAAUCACUGGGCUUAAAGAGUGCGUAGGCGGCCUAACAGGUGGGGUGUGAAAGCCCACGGCUCAACCGUGGAAUUGCGCUCCAAACCGCUAGGCUUGAGGGAGACAGGGGUGAGCGGAACUGAUGGUGGAGCGGUGAAAUGCGUUGAUAUCAUCAGGAACACCAGUGGCGAAGGCGGCUCACUGGGUCUCUUCUGACGCUGAGGCACGAAAGCUAGGGGAGCGAACGGGAUUAGAUA
rnacentral:rRNA from 1 species